UAUGGGGGGACCAUCCUCCAAGGCUAAAUACUCCUGACUGACCGAUAGUGAACCAGUACCGUGAGGGAAAGGCGAAAAGAACCCCGGCGAGGGGAGUGAAAAAGAACCUGAAACCGUGUACGUACAAACAGUGGGAGCCCCACCACUAAGCCAGUGGUGAACUCCACAUACGCAUCCUUUGCUGAGGAUACGGUUAACGGAGCGAAAGCGACGUUCAACCUCAAAAGAAGCAGAGGGGGCUUAGUGGUGGGGUGACUGCGUACCUUUUGUAUAAUGGGUCAGCGACUUAUAUUCUGUAGCAAGGUUAACCGUAUAGGGGAGCCGGAGGGAAACCGAGUCUUAACCGGGCGUUAAGUUGCAGGGUAUAGACCCGA
rnacentral:rRNA from 1 species